rnacentral:rRNA from 1 species
UACGAAGGGGGCUAGCGUUGUUCGGAAUCACUGGGCGUAAAGCGCACGUAGGCGGAUUUGUAAGUCAGGGGUGAAAUCCCGGGGCUCAACCUCGGAACUGCCUUUGAUACUGCAAGUCUCGAGUUCGGGAGAGGUGAGUGGAAUUCCCGGUGUAGAGGUGAAAUUCGUAGAUAUUAGGAAGAACACCAGUGGCGAAGGCGGCUCACCGGCCCGAUACUGACGCUGAGGUGAGAAAGCGUGGGGAGCAAACAGG